rnacentral:lncRNA from 1 species
AUAAGUAUUUAUAUCCAUUAAAUAAGACAUACAAAACACGCACUAAAACUAAUAUUGUUGAAUGAUAAUAAGGCAGAUUGAGCUAAAAUGAAGAGACAAAAAGCAACGAUGGAGCUUAUUCACGUAGCCAAACUUUAUACUCUGUCGGAUGGUUUUUUUUUUUUUUUUGAAGUCUGUUAUACACAGAUAUUACUGACACUACAUCAGACAUUAUAAUUAAUAUUUACAAUCAUACUAUAUAACUGGGACCACCAUCAUACAUUGACACAUUGAAGUAUAUGCUCAGAUAUUUUAAACCCUCUCUAAUAUUCGAGGGGUGCCUACUCCACUCACAUUUCGUAAGAGAGAGAAUGUCUCCACUCAAUUAAAUGAUAAUUGAGGAAGAACUGAAACUAACCUCCAUAAUGCUCUUAUGGAGGCUCGAACCCUUGCACUAAACUUUAUACUCUGUCGGAUGGUUAAGUAGGCCAAAGUUAAAGAAUUUGAUGAAAAGAAGGGAAAAAAAAGAAAAGGCAAUGUUGUGACCAAAAUGAUUGUGUUUGAUGAUGGAUUGCAAGAAAGCAAAGCAUGUGUUUCUCCCCUUCCCCAGCUCCAUCACCUCUCACGCCUCCUCUCAAAUCUCCAAUAAAAGCAGCGUUGCAAAACGUUUUCACUUUUUUUUUUUUUUUUGAAAAAAGUGCAAAAAGCCCUGCGGUGGGGGGAAUUCUUAUCUUUAAGACUUAAGAGCAGUAAUAAUCAAGUUUAUGCCCCUAAUUAUUUGCUUACUCGCUCGCCGAAUGCGGAAUAAAGUAGGUUCUGGACCAUAUUAUUUUUUCUGCCGUAGUGUCAAUGCAAUGUAGCAAUCCAUCAUCAUAUUAUAUGACCAAAAUGAUAGUUCAUCUUUUUACAUACAGUUUCAUAAAACGGCUAAUUAUGGUGGAUUGAUCCAAGGUUACUGAAACAGGAAAAAAUAUCGCACGUGAAACGCCAUAAUGGGUGUCGUUUCAUUUUUAUGAAUAUAUAUAUAUAUAUAUAUAUAUAUAUAUAUAUAUCCAUCGGCGUCACCCAUGAGCCAUGAUCGGGGGCGUAGAACAAAAAAGAUCAUAUGGUGUUUUCAACUGCCCACAGCCCUAAAUCAAGCCAUUUAUGUACCUUCUGGGCCGAUGAUUGGAAUGAAGCCUAUAAAACUAAAGUCUAGUUUCAAUUGAGGAGGCCUCAUUGGUCUAGGCAGUCUUGUAGACGGUAGGACCUUUCAAAUAAUUUUAGCCCAAUUCUGUAUUCAACAUUACCAUAUUCUUAUAACCCUUUGUAUUAUUUUAAUAUAUUUUGAAGCGACAUGUUAGCUUAGUUAGAAUUUACAUUGAGAGAAAAAUAUUAAGGUGGUGUUUGGUUUUAAGAAAGGUAAGGAGAGGAGAGGAGAAAAAAAGAGAGGAGUGGAGAGGCGAUGAGAGGAAAAUAGUGCAAAAAUUAAUGAUUAUUGUUUGGUUUCACAUUAAAUUUGAAAGGAAAAUAAA